rnacentral:rRNA from 1 species
GGCUUACACAUGCAAGUCGAGGGGCAGCAUCAUCAAAGCUUGCUUUGAUGGAUGGCGACCGGCGCACGGGUGAGUAACACGUAUCCAACCUGCCGACAACACUGGGAUAGCCUUUCGAAAGAAAGAUUAAUACCGGAUGGCAUAAUUAUUCCGCAUGGGAUAAUUAUUAAAGAAUUUCGGUUGUCGAUGGGGAUGCGUUCCAUUAGGCAGUUGGCGGGGUAACGGCCCACCAAACCUACGAUGGAUAGGGGUUCUGAGAGGAAGGUCCCCCACAUUGGAACUGAGACACGGUCCAAACUCCUACGGGAGGCAGCAGUGAGGAAUAUUGGUCAAUGGACGAGAGUCUGAACCAGCCAAGUAGCGUGAAGGAUGACUGCCCUAUGGGUUGUAAACUUCUUUUAUACGGGAAUAAAGUGAGCCACGUGUGGCUUUUUGUAUGUACCGUAUGAAUAAGGAUCGGCUAACUCCGUGCCAGCAGCCGCGGUAAUACGGAGGAUUCGAGCGUUAUCCGGAUUUAUUGGGUUUAAAGGGAGCGUAGGCGGGUUGUUAAGUCAGUUGUGAAAGUUUGCGGCUCAACCGUAAAAUUGCAGUUGAUACUGGCGACCUUGAGUGCAACAGAGGUAGGCGGAAUUCGUGGUGUAGCGGUGAAAUGCUUAGAUAUCACGAAGAACUCCGAUUGCGAAGGCAGCUUACUGGAUUGUAACUGACGCUGAUGCUCGAAAGUGUGGGUAUCAAACAGGAUUAGAUACCCUGGUAGUCCACACAGUAAACGAUGAAUACUCGCUGUUGGCGAUAUACAGUCAGCGGCCAAGCGAAAGCAUUAAGUAUUCCACCUGGGGAGUACGCCGGCAACGGUGAAACUCAAAGGAAUUGACGGGGGCCCGCACAAGCGGAGGAACAUGUGGUU